rnacentral:rRNA from 1 species
GGCACAAGCGGUGGAGCAUGUGGUUUAAUUCGAUGCAACGCGAAGAACCUUUACCUGGGCUUGACAUCCCGAGAAUCCCCUGGAAACAGGGGAGUGCCUUUCGGGGAACUCGGAGACAGGUGCUGCAUGGCUGUCGUCAGCUCGUGUCGUGAGAUGUUGGGUUAAGUCCCGCAACGAGCGCAACCCUUGUCUUUAAUUGCCAGCAUUCAGUUGGGCACUUUAAAGAGACUGCCGGUGUUAAGCCGGAGGAAGGUGGGGAUGACGUCAAGUCCUCAUGGCCUUUAUGCCCAGGGCUACACACGUGCUACAAUGGGUGGUACAAAGAGAUGCCAACUCGCGAGAGCGCGCCAAUCUCAGAAAGCCAUCCUCAGUUCGGAUUGGAGUCUGCAACUCGACUCCAUGAAGUUGGAAUCGCUAGUAAUCGCGGAUCAGCACGCCGCGGUGAAUACGUUCCCGGGCCUU